UUUCCGUAGGUGAACCUGCGGAAGGAUCAUUAUUGAAUAAACCUGAUGUGGUUGUAGCUGGCCCUUUCGGGCGCAUGUGCACACCCGUCGUCUUUAUCUUCCCACCUGUGCACCUUUUGUAGACCUGGAUUUAACACUUUCCGAGGCAACUCGGUCGGGAGAAAUGCUGUCAGCUUUCCUUGAAUGUCCAGGCCUAUGUUUUCAUAUACCCCAAAGAAUGUAACAGAAUGUAUUAUUGGGCCUUGUGCCUAUGAACUAUAUACAACUUUCAGCAACGGAUCUCUUGGCUCUC
rnacentral:misc_RNA from 1 species